rnacentral:rRNA from 1 species
UACGAAGGGGGCUAGCGUUGCUCGGAAUCACUGGGCGUAAAGGGUGCGUAGGCGGGUCUUUAAGUCAGGGGUGAAAUCCUGGAGCUCAACUCCAGAACUGCCUUUGAUACUGAAGAUCUUGAGUUCGGGAGAGGUGAGUGGAACUGCGAGUGUAGAGGUGAAAUUCGUAGAUAUUCGCAAGAACACCAGUGGCGAAGGCGGCUCACUGGCCCGGUACUGACGCUGAAGCGCGAAAGCGUGGGGAGCAAACGGG